rnacentral:rRNA from 1 species
UGGGGAAUAUUGGACAAUGGGCGCAAGCCUGAUCCAGCCAUGCCGCGUGAACGAUGAAGGCCUUAGGGUUGUAAAGUUCUUUUGUCAGGGAAGAUAAUGACGGUACCUGAAGAAUGAGCACCGGCUAACUUCGUGCCAGCAGCCGCGGUAAUACGAAGGGUGCUAGCGUUGUUCGGAAUCACUGGGCGUAAAGCGCGCGUAGGCGGCGAUAUAAGUCAGAGGUGAAAGCCUGGAGCUCAACUCCAGAACUGCCUUUGAAACUAUAUUGCUAGAGUGUCGGAGGGGAUAGCGGAAUUGCUAAUGUAGAGGUGAAAUUCGUAGAUAUUAGCAGGAACACCGGUGGCGAAGGCGGCUAUCUGGACGACAACUGACGCUGAGGCGCGAAAGCGUGGGGAUCAAACAGGAUUAGAUACCCUCGUAGUCCCUGAGCGGGCUGGCAAGGCGCAU